GAUGAACGCUAGCUACAGGCUUAACACAUGCAAGUCGAGGGGAAACGGCAUUAAGUGCUUGCACUUUUUGGACGUCGACCGGCGCACGGGUGAGUAACGCGUAUCCAACCUUCCCAUGACUAAGGGAUAACCUGCCGAAAGGCAGACUAAUACCUUAUGGUCUUCACUGACGGCAUCAGAUGUGAAGUAAAGGUUUAUCGGUUAUGGAUGGGGAUGCGUCUGAUUAGCUUGUUGGCGGGGUAACGGCCCACCAAGGCAACGAUCAGUAGGGGUUCUGAGAGGAAGGGCCCCGACAGUGGAACUGGGCCACGGUCCAAACUCCUACGGGAGGCAGCAGUGAGGAAGAUUGGUCAAUGGGCGAGAGCCUGAACCAGCCAAGUAGCGUGCAGGAUGACGGCCCUAUGGAUUGUAAACUGCUUUUGGAUGGGGAUAAAGUCAAUCACGUGUGAUUGUUUGCAGGUACCAGACGAAUAAGGACCGGCUAAUUCCGUG
rnacentral:rRNA from 1 species